AAGAAGGGACCAGAGAAGAAAGAGGCUGUGGGGAGGACUAGAAAAGGAGCAGGGGAAUGGGAGAGGAAAGAAAGAAGGAGGGGAAUGUGGGGCGUGGAAGGAUGGAGAGGAAGAAAGCCGGGAGAGAGCAGAUAGAGAACGAAACUGCGGAGAGAGACGGGGUUAUGGAUGGGAUAAGAUGAAGAAGGGAGAAGGGGGGAAAGGAUAAGGAGGAAAGGGAAGAGAGGAAUGAAGGGGGCUGUGCUGAAAGGAAGGUAACAAGGGAUGGGGGAGGAGGCAGGAGAGAGAGAAAAGAGGGAAAACAGGAGGGAGGGUACAUCCCUGGCUUCUGUACCUAACCUUAAUUCCAUGGUCUGUGCUGUCCCUACUUCAAAACUCCUUAGCCAUCCCAUUUCUCUCUGGAACUUGAUAAUGCCCAACCUCAGCUUGGAUCCUACUGGACAACUGUCCUCUUCCCCACCCCCCACUUCAUUCUCCCUUCAGCAUCUGUUCCAAACCUUCCCCUUUUCCUGGAGCUUCUAGCUUCAGAUAUAGCAGGUUCAGCCUCUUUUCCUGGAGAAGCCUGGGGUCAUAGAUCAGGGGCAUGCACAGCCCCUCUUCCAUUCAGACCUCUGCAUCACCAGUCUUCCCCCCCUUUUUCUUCUCCUUUUUCCUUACAGAGGAACAUGCUUCCCUACUUUUCACUAGGGCUGAUCUCUUUCCUUGGGUUCUCCUUGGGUUCUUUAUUCUAUUCCCCAACAUCUCUGGAAUUUUGGAUUCUCAGUCCAUCCUUUAAUGCAUCCUCCAUGGUUCUUUCUCCACUGUCUCCUUUCUCUCCACUGACAUUAUCAAGUAUCCCCCAUCCUAAAAGAACCUCCCUUGGACUUUUGUUUUGUGAGGUACAAUUUCAUCAUUGGAGGGAACUCUCAUCAAGAGCUUCCUCAACCCUCCAGGUGGCUCAGUACAUAAUCCUGGGGCUUGGAGUCAGGAAGACCUGAGUUCAAAUUCAGUCUCAGGCUCUUAAUAGCUAUAUGACUGAGCAAGUCCUGUAACCUUUCUCUGACUUAGUUUCAACGAUAGAAUGAGGAUGAUAAUAGCCCAUAUCUUCCAGGAUUGUUGUGAAGAUCUAAUGAGAUAUCUGCAAAGUGCUUAGUAUAGUGCCUGGCACAUAGUAGGUGCUUGGUUUCAUUCUUAUUUCCUUCCUUGUCUUCCUUUCCUUCCACCAGCUGCCUAGAAACGAAGCAUAAAAUCUUAAGAGAAUUGCUUAGAGCACUGACAGGGUUACCCAACCAGUAGGAGUCAGAAGUACCUGAGAGUAUUCCUAAGAGAGGAAAUAAUGCCUCUCUUCGCCCCUUCUUUGUUUUUUUCUUCUUCUUAAAGCCCUCGCCUUCCACUUUAGAAUCAAUGUUAUUUUUUGGUUCCAAGACAGAAGAGUGGCAAGGGCUAGGCUAGGAGGUUAAGUGACUUGCCCAGGGUCACACAGCUAGGAAAUGUCUGAGGCCAGAUUUGAACCUAGACUUCUCGUGUCUAGGCCUGGCUCUCAAUCCACUGAGCUACCCAGCUGCCCCCUCCUUCUUUGUUUCUCUAAUCCCAACCACCUUCUUCUGCCUCCCUCUUCACUCCUAACUUUGAAAAGGUUGCCUACACUUUUCUCUAUUUCCUCAGCAUCUACUCCUUGUCUUCUUGCAGUGUGUUCUGAGCCCUACCAGUAGAUAGAAAGCUCCACCAAGGUGGUCAGUGUCCUUUAAUUGGCAAACCCAUUAGCCUUCUUUCAACCCUCAUCACUGUUCAGGUUUUGAUUGGUCAUCUCCUUCUGGCUCUUCUCUUCUUCCUUGGGUAGUUGGGACAGGGAGAAUCACCCUUGGCUCGCCUCCUAUCUUUAUGUUGCUUGUCAAGGCCUGGGACGCUUGCUGACUUCUCGAAAGUGGGUGUUCUCCCAGUUCCAUCCUUGGAAAAUUCUUUCUUUGGACUUUCACCCUGAUUAAUGAGGCAGAACUCAGGGUGUGGGCGUGGGCGUGGGAUAGACUAAAAGGUGUUUAUUUUUAAAAAUCAUGUCAGAUCAGCAAGCGAUUCAAGAUGGGGCCAGUUUGUAUUGGUAACUUUGGUAAUGAGAUAAAGAUAAAUUGGGGAGACCCACGUCAGCCAAAGGGGAUGGACCGCUGCACCCCGGUGCCUCCCCAAUCACCAGCAAAUGCUGGCUCCCAGGCUUUCCGCCAUUGCCUUUGCAUUUAUCCCCAUGGCAUUCAUGAUCCCUUACGUGAUAUCCGCAUCCCCAGGCCUGACCUCUGCCCUUCCCUAGAGAUCCGCGUCUCUGGUGACACACAGGACAGCCCACAGGACGUCCGAUCGACUCCAAACUCAAAGGGUUCCACAUAGAAUAUCACCUCCUUGAGGGAGAAGAGCUCUAUCAGAAUAACGUGGACUAGGGAAGAAUAGAGCAGAAUGAAAGGAAGGAGGAAAAGAGGAAACAGGAGAGGAGGAAGGGAAGAAGGAGAGAAGAGGGAAAGAGAGGGAUGAAGGCAAGAAAGAUGGGGAAAGGAGACCACCUUUCCACCUUCCCGUACAAGGCCUGCCCUUCAGGAGUUGAGCCGAGGUGGAGAAAAUGCAGUACUGGGGCUCCAGAGUUCUGGACUCAACAUGCCUCUAACGCUGCUGUAUCCAAUCCAAUUCAACUGAAGUGUGUGACCUCCAGCUAUCCCACACACUUCUAUGGGUAUGAGUAGCAUUCAGGAAAGAAUUUUGCCUUGUGGAAGGUCAAAACUAGCUGGGGACUGAGAUCACACUUUUCCUCUGCCUCUCUUUCACCAUGU